rnacentral:rRNA from 1 species
AUGCACGCUGGCGGCGUGCCUAAUACAUGCAAGUCGAGCGAACAGACGAGGAGCUUGCUCCUCUGACGUUAGCGGCGGACGGGUGAGUAACACGUGGAUAACCUACCUAUAAGACUGGGAUAACUUCGGGAAACCGGAGCUAAUACCGGAUAAUAUAUUGAACCGCAUGGUUCAAUAGUGAAAGACGGUUUUGCUGUCACUUAUAGAUGGAUCCGCGCCGCAUUAGCUAGUUGGUAAGGUAACGGCUUACCAAGGCAACGAUGCGUAGCCGACCUGAGAGGGUGAUCGGCCACCCUGGAACUGAGACACGGUCCAGACUCCGACGGGAGGCAGCAGUAGGGAAUCUUCCGAAAUGGGCGAAAGCCUGACGGAGCAACGCCGCGUGAGUGAUGAAGGUCUUCGGAUCGUAAAACUCUGUUAUUAGGGAAGAACAAAUGUGUAAGUAACUAUGCACGUCUUGACGGUACCUAAUCAGAAAGCCACGGCUAACUACGUG